rnacentral:lncRNA from 1 species
UUCAGUUGGGUCAUCCAUGUAUAAAUGAUAUGAUGCAGGAGAUGGUGAUUAAGUUGGGGGAAAGAGGGUGAAGCGGCCCUUGGAGACAACUAACACAGCCUGCCUGCCCCGACCAGGCACAGCUACAGCCAAGUCAGAGGCCCUGGGGCUGACUGGGACCCAGAAGAGAAAUGAGAGCUGGAGAAGAGGAACAGACAAGCCUCUCCAACACAGCACGGACUCUAGCUAGGCUGGCUCUGAGACUUCUAGUGACCUUGAGACCUCAUAACUUCAGAAAUCCUUUAUCCUCCAGCCUAUCAACAAUCAAGAGUCAGACAACAGUGUAUCAUGGAAUGGACAGUGGUUUGGGGCAAUCACCUAUCACCGAACCUGAUGCUCAACAUCACUGUU